rnacentral:rRNA from 1 species
CGCGAAAGCGUGACGCAGCAACGCCGCGUGGGGGAGAAGGCCUUCGGGUUGUAAACCCCUUCAGGAGGGACGAAGGUUCGGCGGUGAAUAGCCGUCCGGACUGACGGUACCUCCACAAGAAGCCCCGGCUAACUACGUGCCAGCAGCCGCGGUAAUACGUAGGGGGCUAGCGUUGUCCGGAAUCAUUGGGCGUAAAGCGCGCGUAGGCGGCCCGGUAAGUCCGCUCUGAAAGUCCAGGGCUCAACCCUGGAAAGCGGGUGGAUACUGCCGGGCUAGAAUCCGGAAGAGGCGAGUGGAAUUCCUGGUGUAGCGGUGGAAUGCGCAGAUAUCAGGAGGAACACCAAUAGCGAAGGCAGCUCACUGGGACGGUAUUGACGCUGAGGCGCGAAAGCGUGGGGAGCAAACAGGAUUAGAUACCCUGGUAGUCCACGCCGUAAACGAUGGGCACUAGGUGUGGGAGGUGUCGACUCCUCCCGUGCCGACGCUAACGCAUUAAGUGCCCCGCCUGGGGAGUACGGCCGCAAGGCUA